rnacentral:tRNA from 3 species
GGCCCCUUCGUCUAGCCUGGUCUAGGACGUUGCCCUCUCAAGGCAGAAACACGGGUUCAAAUCCCGUAGGGGCCGCCA